GUUGUCACCAAGAGCUGUUUUCUGCUGCUGUUGGAUCUGGCCGUGGAGCAAACAGUAGAUGAUUCAGAUCAGACACUUCCCAGGAAGCUGGACUGGCUGAGGCUUAAACAGAGUCGUGGGAAGAGAUUUGGACAUUCAGAUUUCAAAAAACAUUGCAAACCUUUCCACUGGGAUCUCCACAAGUGGAGGCUAGAAAAAGGCAGCCAGCAAAGGCUUUGGGCAGACUGCUUCUGCUGCAAGCUGGCAGAGGAGCCCCCAGCACAGUGCACAACAGUCCUGGUUACAGCCUGCAGCCUUGUGCUCCUGCCCGCAGUCUGGAAGUACUUGACUCCAGCAGGUGAGAUGCCGACUGUGAAAGACACAGUGCUCACUCUUCCAUCCCCACAGUUGCAGCCUGAACAUAACCAGUAUCACAGAAAAGGUGUCAACUAUCAACAUACUUCCUUUUUGAGGUUAGAAAAUAUUUCAAUUCAGCUUUUCUCCCAUCUGGAAAUACCGCUUCAUUUGUUAUUUUCAGUUUCUCCUGAAAUGUUUUAGACUCCUGUUCUUUGGUAAAUGGAUCCGUUGAAGAUGACUGUGCAGUAACCUCUGGGCUAACGAUCCCUGGAGGGACUGUGUUGAGGGGAUUUCUGUCUCCAGAGCUGGCAGGAUUUGUUACCUGUUAGAAGGCAGCAGUGUGCUUACAGGUGGCUACAGAUAGUUCAGCCACCAGGAGGAGAUAAAGACUCACUGUUUUACAGCGCGUCCUCUUUGGACCACUUUGCUCAGUGCCUGCCGGUUGGUUGAACUGUUUGCAGCCACCUUUAAAGCAGAGUUAGAAGGGAGAUGAUAAUGCUAGACAGAAAAAUGGGCAAGUUUGGGAGGAGCAGAUUCUGGGUCACUUCUGUAGUGCCUCGUGGUACACACACAGUCUUGAUGGAGUUUCAGGACAUGACUGAAGGAGGUGCUCACAUCCAUGAUUAAGUGAGGAAGGCACUGCUUGUAGGAUGUCUUCUGGUCAGUUCUCAGAUAUGCUGGAGGCUGAGCAUUUGCUAUAUCAGCUUACCAAGGAAAACUGUGCAGAGCCAGGGAAGGAGGAUAACAUCAUUUUCUUAAACUCAAGCAAGCACACAGGACAGCUCUGUUAAGACAGCAAGAUGGUCAGCCAUGGAUCCAAGGCAGCUGCCCUACACCUUUCCAGGGCACUGGUAGUUGGGAGGAGAGGAUACAAGAAGAGAGGAGCAAAGUGACAGAGAAAUGAUCUGUGCAUAACAACAUCAUUUGUAUAGUGUAGAGUCAGGUGAGUCAUUGCCUGUGAACCUGAGCAUUGUGAACCUGAGCCUAAGCAUUUCCAGUAUAGGUUGGAGCAGAUGAGGAGCUGCUCAAACUCAUGCUCUGAGUGAGAGACCACCAACCAUUCGUGAACAGGUGGAGGAACACAACUGGGAACUGGGUGAGUUCUCACAGACCUGCAGGCAGUGUGACAGGAGUAAGCAGUUGUGCUCCCAGCACACAGGAGGCCAGCAAUGAGGAGAGGUAUAACGAGCCAGAUGCAGACCAUGGGCAUUGUUUGAGGAGCAAUAAUGGGAGAUGGCCUGAGCUCUUAGCAAAGGAACCCAACUCACUCAACCUCCAGAAGAGGCAGCAGCAAUGUACCUCCAUGUAGCAGGCUUUUCAAAAUGCCAGUGUUACUUUUCAGAGUGAAAUGGAUUAAUGAUGUUUAGAAUUAGGUCGCUGACUGCCUAGGGAAAUGUACCUUAACCUUUGAUAACCCUCAUUCUGGGAAGUAAAUGUCAAUUAGGGCUUAUUUAAAGGAGACUGACCUUUUUAACCUGCACUACUGUGUGGAAGAUGCAAUUGAUCUAUGGAGAACCUGGGGAAAUGUAUUUUGUUUACCCAGAGAAAAAGAUUGCAGAUAAAUUAACCCUUUUGUUUUCUGACACUCACAUGCCAUUUUAAGGCUGAAUGCAAAGCUGACCAAACCCUUCUAAGCCAUUAGGAAAAUCAGUAAUUGACAUCUCCAGUAGAAGAUCACUAGAAUCUGGUUAGAAUAUGAGGCAAAAAUUGCUCCUUGAGUGCUUCAAAAAUUUCACGUGCUCAUUGCAUUCAUUGUUUGCAGUGGGGAUUCAAGCAUUCAUUACUCUUCUUGCUUUCUGUGGCAUCUAGGCAACUUAAGCACCAUUUAGGAUGAAGUAAGCUGUUUAAAUGCCUACAUUUAGGUGAGAAGAGUUGAACAUUUUGCUAAAGGCUGCUGUGCAACCAUGCACUGAAGAGAAGUUUUACUGCAGACAUUUGUGUGGUGUGACACAUGUAGGUUUGAGAACUUGAUUUUAAAAAGCCAUAACCCCCAGGUUCACAGCAUUCCUUUGAACUAUCCUUAGGGUGAAGCAAGGAGAAAGCUCCUUUUAUCACUUCGCAUUAUUAAUUCAUUAGGAUCUCUUAAUGCCAGUGGUAUGACAUUUCAGUCUCUGUAUAUCAAGCAUUAGUUAUUGUAGCCUCAGGAGUUGUUUUCUGCCAGUCUUUGCAGCUACAGUAAAUGUUUCCUGUAGGUCAGCUUUAAGAUAAUAUCUUACACCCUUUAGCCCUUCUUAAUAUCCUGGAGAAGGAAUGUUUUUCACUUCAGUGUAUUCUAAGGAUUCCUUCUGACUGUAACUAGACAAUGGACAAGGAAUGUGCCUCAGAAGUCAGAGCGAAAGCUGCAGAUAAAGUUCAUUUAACACAUAACAACAUUGAAUAAGAAUUAAUAGAAAUAAGAUAGAAAUACAACGUUUUGUUCUGCACAGUACUGCAGAAUUAUUUCCCAGAAUUAUUUCCCAGAAUUAAUUUUUCCCAGAAAUAAUUCUGGGAAUUAGGUGAAUUGACUUGACUAAGCCUGAUGAGUGUCUCCUGUGCUUGGGUACCACAACAAGUAUUCCUGUUGCCACUAGCUUGGAUUUGGGCUGAAUAUCUCAUUUCAUCUACCUCUGUCACUGCACUGUCUGAGCCUUACAGAACCGUGAGGGCUUUUGUCUUUGCAAGCCUCCUUUGAGCUUGGGAAGGCAUUCUAUCUAGACUUUUCCCAGAUGUGGUACUGAAGCAUGAAAAUGAAGUGAAAAGCAGGAUUGACUGUGAAGUCUGCUACAGGCUGCGCACCUCUGCCUCCUGACACCUGCUCCAGUACCUUCAGCACAAGACUGGUGUUUUUCUCGGUGCCCAGUCUUGGGAUUCCACUGGUCAGUGUAACACUCCUACUGGGCUCCAGCUUUCCUGUCCAAAACAUUUUCAUCCCUUUCAUUUUCCAAAGAACAACAAAGACCUUUGGUCAAGGAAUCUGUACUGUUUGCAGAUUGUGGAAAAAAAUCCAUCUGAAUAGCAAUCUCUCAUGGUAAAGGCAGGAUUAAUGCCCUUUGUAGUAGUGUAACCAUUCACUAAGUGAUAGACAUUUAAUACUGAGAACACUGAAGCUCCAUGGAAGGCAGUAUAAAAUAUUUUAUGUGUUUUUAUUGGACCCUACAGUCCAAUAAAACUGGGAGACAGGCAUUCA
ensembl:lncRNA